UGGUCAUAUGCUUGUCUCAAAGAUUAAGCCAUGCAUGUCUAAGCAUGAGCCAAUUUAUGGUGAAGCCGCGAAUGGCUCAUUACAACAGCUGUUGUUUCUUGGAUCUUGAUCUACUUGGAUAACUGUGGUAAUUCUAGAGCUAAUACAUGCAAUCAAGCUCCAACUGUAUGGAAGGAGCGCAUUUAUUAGAACAAGACCAAUCAGGUUUCGACCUGUAAACUGGUGACUCUGAAUAACUUUGCUGAUCACACAGUCCUAGCACUGGUGACAUAUCUUUCAAGUGUCUGCCCUAUCAACUUUCGAUGGUAGUUUAUGUGCCUACCAUGGUGGUAACGGGUAACGGAGAAUAAGGGUUCGACUCCGGAGAGGGAGCCUGAGAAAUGGCUACCACAUCCAAGGAAGGCAGCAGGCGCGCAAAUUACCCACUCUCAGUUUGAGGAGGUAGUGACGAAAAAUAACAAGACAGCUCUCUAUGAGGUCUGUCAUUGGAAUGGGUACAAUUUAAACCCUUUAACGAGGAUCUAUU
rnacentral:rRNA from 1 species